rnacentral:rRNA from 1 species
GGGUUGUGAGGUUAAGCGACUAAGCGUACACGGUGGAUGCCCUGGCAGUCAGAGGCGAUGAAGGGCGUGCUAAUCUGCGAUAAGCGCCGGUAAGGUGAUAUGAACCGUUAUAACCGGCGAUACCCGAAUGGGGAAACCCAGUGUGACUCGUCACACUAUCAUUAACUGAAUCCAUAGGUUAAUGAGGCGAACCGGGGGAACUGAAACAUCUAAGUACCCCGAGGAAAAGAAAUCAACCGAGAUUCCCCCAGUAGCGGCGAGCGAACGGGGAGGAGCCCAGAGCCUGAAUCAGCAUAUGUGUUAGUGGAAGCGUCUGGAAAGGCGCGCGAUACAGGGUGACAGCCCCGUACACAAAAGCGCAUGUGCUGUGAGCUCGAUGAGUAGGGCGGGACACGUGGUAUCCUGUCUGAAUAUGGGGGGACCAUCCUCCAAGGCUAAAUACUCCUGACUGACCGAUAGUGAACCAGUACCGUGAGGGAAAGGCGAAAAGAACCCCGGCGAGGGGAGUGAAAAAGAACCUGAAACCGUGUACGUACAAGCAGUGGGAGCCCCACCACUAAGCCAGUGGUGAACUCCACAUACGCAUCCUUUGCUGAGGAUACGGUUAACGGAGCGAAAGCGACGUUCAACCUCAAAAGAAGCAGAGGGGGCUUAGUGGUGGGGUGACUGCGUACCUUUUGUAUAAUGGGUCAGCGACUUAUAUUCUGUAGCAAGGUUAACCGAAUAGGGGAGCCGGAGGGAAACCGAGUCUUAA